rnacentral:snRNA from 1 species
AGCCUUGCACAGUAGCAAUAUCAUAGCCAAUGAGGCUUGUCCGAGUCAUGAUUAUUGCUAAUUGAAGUACAGGAAAGUGAAUGUCAUUUGGGAUAAACCUAUGACAAUUAAUAAAUGAGUGUGUGUGUGUGUG